AUUGAACGCUGGCGGCAUGCCUUACACAUGCAAGUCGAACGGUAACGGGCCUUCGGGUGCCGACGAGUGGCGAGCGGGUGAGUAAUACAUCGGAACGUGCCCGAUCGUGGGGGAUAACGAGGCGAAAGCUUUGCUAAUACCGCAUACGAUCUACGGAUGAAAGCCGGGGACCGCAAGGCCUUGCGCGGACGGAGCGGCCGAUGGCAGAUUAGGUAGUUGGUGGGAUAAAAGCUUACCAAGACGACGAUCUGUAGCUGGUCUGAGAGGAUGAUCAGCCACACUAGGACUGAGACACGGCCCAGACUCCUACGGGAGGCAGCAGUGGGGAAUGUUGGACAAUGGGCGAAAGCCUGAUCCAGCCAUGCCGCGUGCAGGAUGAAGGCCUUCGGGUUGUAAACUGCUUUUGUACGGAACGAAAAGCCUUCUUUUAAUACAGGAGGGUCAUGACGGUACCGUAAGAAUAAGCACCGGCUAAGUACGUG
rnacentral:rRNA from 1 species